rnacentral:tRNA from 1 species
UAGAUUGAAGCCAGUGGACUAGGAGGGUAUUUAGCUGUUAACUAAAAUUUCGUGGGGUUGGGGCCCACCAAUCUAG